GGCCGCCAGCAGUGAGCGGGGCUAGCUGUUGCUCCGCUGCGAGCUCCUGCUCCGCCGCCAGCAACAACGUCAACGCUACAACGAUGGAGGUCACCGGAGGAAAUCCAGCGCCGUGUAACAAAGAGCUCAUCACCGAAGUCCAACGCUGCAGUGCGUUCUUCAUUCUGUUCCACGAGACUCUGGACCAGACCACCGCGAGCAGACAGCUGGACUUCAUGUGCUCUUGGUGAAAUGACCAGGUCCCGUCAGGAUCCUGUGGAGCUCAUGGGCCAUGACACGCCCAGGACCUACUUCAGCAUCUCAAAGAGAAUGGACCAAAUGUCAACUGGAAGUUUUUGUAUUCAUACAGUUUGAAAAGGAUUGUUUUCCUAGUAUAUUCACAAAAGCUCAGGAGUAGACGUAUGAACCUGUGCACAAACAUCCAUCACAUAGAGACAUGAGAACUCUCACUCACUCACUCUCACACACACACACACACCCACACACACACAUACAUUCUAUUAUGUAAAUGUAUUUGCAUUUUAAAAGCAGCUGGAAAUGUUAUUUUAUAGAUUUUUUUGUUCAAAAGGAACUAUGUUGCACGUAUUUUAAAAAUAUAUUUACUUGAUUUUAUAGACAUUUGUUCAUGGGACCUAAAUGUUCUGAAAAUGUUGUAUUAAUAAAUAUAAUUUACAACAGCAAUGACA